AGAGUUUGAUCAUGGCUCAAAACGUACGCUGGCGGCACGCCUAACACAUGCAAGUCGAACGCAGUAGCAAUACUGAGUGGCAGACGGGUGAGUAACAUGUGGGAAUCUGCCUUGUGGUUCAGGACAACAUUGGGAAACCGAUGCUAAUACUGGAUAAGCCCUUACGGGGAAAGUUUUAAUGCCAUAAGAUGAGCCCGCAUUUGAUUAGUUAGUUGGUGAGGUAAUGGCUCACCAAGACAAUGAUCAAUAGCUGAUCUGAGAGGAUGAUCAGCCACACUGGGACUGAGACACGGCCCAGACUCCUACGGGAGGCAGCAGUGGGGAAUCUUGCACAAUGGAGGAAACUCUGAUGCAGCGAUGCCGCGUGAGUGAAGAAGGCCUUUGGGUUGUAAAGCUCUUUUGUAGGGGAAGAUAAUGAUUGUACCCUAAGAAUAAGGUCCGGCUAACUUCGUGCCAGCAGCCGCGGUAAUACGAAGGGACCUAGCGUAGUUCGGAAUUACUGGGCGUAAAGCGCGCGUAGGCCGUUGAGUUAGUUAAUUGUGAAAUCCCAAAGCUUAACUUUGGAACUGCAAUUAAAACUGCUCGACUAGAGUUUGAUAGAGGAAAGCNGAAUACAUAGUGUANAGGUGAAAUUCGUAGGUAUUAUGUA
rnacentral:rRNA from 1 species